UAAGCAGCCAUCUGAACAGAAAGCGUUAAAGCUCGGACCAGAACAAGCCUAUUAUAAUAUUAUAACCUCUAAUGCCCCUAUUACUACUGAGCCAUCCUAUGCCUACAUAGGAGGGACCAUGCUAGAACGAGUAACAAGAAGAAUGAACUUCUCCCCGCACAAGUGUAAGUUGGAUCGGACCCCCCACCAACAAUUAACGAACCCAAUAAUAGAGGAGCCUACACCCCCGCCACCCUAGGCCAAGAAGACCACGUAUUACCAUAUCGUUAACCCCACACAGGAGUGCUAGACAAGGGAAAGACUAAAAGGAUGAAAAGGAACUCGGCAAACCGAAACCCCGCCUGUUUACCAAAAACACCGCCUCCUGACCACACCACAUAGGAGGUCCCGCCUGCCCAGUGACCAAAAGUUUAACGGCCGCGGUAAUAAAAA
rnacentral:rRNA from 1 species